rnacentral:lncRNA from 1 species
AUGGUUCUGGGCAUGGAAGACCCACCUGAGGACUGUUGCCAAUGGCAUAAAAGGAGACCUAAAGGGGAAGAUCGUAUGCUGUUGAUUUUCUUGGAGAAGCUUGUUGUGGUUGGUUUUCCUGGCGCGAACUCAGCUGUUCUCAUCAGAGGAGCACGGGUCUUCCCUGUCACCGAGGAUGGCUGCUGUUCUCUUCAGGGGAGCUCUGGUCUAUGCCUUGAGCGUUGCUUCCUGGCUCCAGUGCAGAGCCCUCAGCCUGGUGGCACAGGUGGACUCCGUGUACCCUGAAAAUGUGUCUGCUGGAAGUCUGGAGCUUGUAUCUUUUUGGUUAACUAUCUGUAAAGUGUGUCCACGUAGGAAAUUUCAGAGAUGGUUCUGACUGAGUAAAAUUUAUG